rnacentral:rRNA from 1 species
GGGAUGACACAGUAGGAUAAGCUAAGCACACUGUUGGGUAUGUGUGCCCAAGCAUUGAGGCAGUCAAAGUAGGCAAAUCCGCUUUGAUAAUGCUGGGAUGUGAUGGGGAGCGAAAUUUAGUAGCGAAGUAGCUGAUUUCACACUGUCAAGAAAAGUCUCUAUCGAGGUUAAAGGUACCCGUACCGCAAACCGACACAGGUGGGUGAGGAGAGUAUCCUAAGGCCAGCGAGAGAACUGUUGUUAAGGAACUCGGCAAAAUGACCCCGUAACUUAGGGAUAAGGGGUGCCACCAUCAGGUGGCCGCAGAGAAUAGGCCCAAGCGACUGUUUACCAAAAACAUAGGUUUCUGCUAAGUCGCAAGACGAUGUAUAGGCGCUGACGCCUGCCCGGUGCUGGAAGGUUAAGGGGAUCUGUUAGAGUAAUCGAAGCAGUGAACUUAAGCCCCAGUAAACGGCGGCCGUAACUAUAACGGUCCUAAGGUAGCGAAAUUCCUUGUCGGGUAAGUUCCGACCCGCACGAAAGGCGUAACGAUUUGGGCACUGUCUCA